rfam:Triticum aestivum genome assembly, contig: Triticum_aestivum_CS42_TGACv1_scaffold_375767_5AL
AAAGUACUCCCUCUGUCCCAAAAUUCUUGUCUUAGAUUUGUCUAGAUACGGAUGUAUCAAGUCACAUUUUAGUAUUAGAUACAUCCGUAUCUAGACAAAUCUAAGACAAGAAAUUUGGGACAGAGGGAGUAGUUG